rnacentral:rRNA from 1 species
GCACGGGUGAGUAACGCGUAGAUAAUCUACCCUAUAGUCUGGGACAACUUCUCGAAAGGGGAGCUAAUACCGGAUAAUACAUUGAAUCGAAUGUUUCGAUGUUGAAAGGUUUACUGCUAAAGGAUGAGUCUGCGUACCAUUAGCUUGUUGGUAGGGUAAAGGCCUACCAAGGCGACGAUGGUUAGCGGGUCUGAGAGGAUGAUCCGCCACACUGGAACUGAGACACGGUCCAGACUCC